UUUUUUUUUUUUUUUUUUGGGGAUGAUGUAAUAUGUAAACUGCAUUCUAAGGUAAAGAAAAGGGUUAUUCACUCUGAUUUUGUGAAUGCUGUAGCAGCUUAUGCAUACCGGGUAAAUGGUUAUGCAGAACAUUUCUGUGGGAAAAAUAUGGCUGCGUGCCUGCCUGCCUACAUGGUACCUACAUGUAAUGUAUUAGGAAUAACAAAACAACUGUGAUAAUCCUGAUUUGGUUUUAUGAGAAAUGAAAAUCAUAUUUCUG
rnacentral:misc_RNA from 1 species